rnacentral:rRNA from 1 species
GUCCACGCCCUAAACGAUGUCAACUGGGUGUUCGGGAAGCGAUUCCUGGGUACCGUAGCUAACGCGAGAAGUUGACCGCCUGGGGGAGUACGGCCGCAAGGUUAAAACUCAAAGGAAUUGACGGGGACCCGCACAAGCGGUGGAUGAUGUGGAUUAAUUCGAUGCAACGCGAACAACCUUACCUACCCUUGACAUGUCCGGAACCCUGCUGAGAGGUGGGGGUGCCCGAAAGGGAAUCGGAACACAGGUGCUGCAUGGCUGUCGU